rnacentral:rRNA from 1 species
GACAUAGGUGGCGAACGUUAUCCGGAAUUAUUGGGCGUAAAGGAUGCGUAGAUGGUAGAAUAAGUUAUUGGUCGAUGCCAAACUCAAUUUGGCGGAAGCUGGUAAUACUGUUCAGCUAGAGGGCAGGAGAGGUUGAUGGAAUUCUGUGUGGAGCGGUGAAAUGCGUUGAUCUGCAGAGGAACACCAAAAAAGGCGAAGGCAGUCAACUAUACUGUUCCUGACAUUGAGGCAUGAAAGCGUGGGGAGCAAACCGG